rnacentral:lncRNA from 1 species
CAGAAUAAUACAUGUUUUCUACUGUAUAGCAAAAAACUAAAACCAUUUCCAACCGUGCGUUUUUUUAUAUUCUGUUUUUCAGGGUGGGCAGGAAAAGAUGCUAAAUAAUCCUGGCUGGUAUCCUGCUUACUGCCAAAGCCUAAAUGGAUCCUAUGCCAUGACUUCUACUUGGACACAGCAAAAGCUUUCUGCCAAUUUAUAAAUAUCCACCUUGCCCCAGACAACCAAACAUUCCAGGACUGGCCAUGCAAAACCAUUGUUUUCUAGAAGCACCCAUGCCUUCAGAAAUAUCUUCUCGUUCCAGCUGCCCUUGACUUCAGAAAAGUCCUCCCAAGAGCCUAUGUCACUGCUUCAAGUCCAAGCCUAGCCACAAAGAAAGAGCAGCACUUCUUCAGUCUUUAUGGCAGAUCCAGUAGAAGGAACGAGAUUGAACAAACACAGACUCCAGUAACCCUACUUUCCAGAGGUGACACAUUUAGGUAAAGAUGAAAAUAUUGCUGGGAUUUUGAUCACUUACAUGAUUUCUCUUGAUAUUGUACUUUAUUUGUUCUUAAAAAUCAAGCAUUUAUUUUUUGCGAUUAACGUUCUGGCACUCUUCAGACAUUCAGGCAG